rnacentral:rRNA from 1 species
AGCGAACGCUGGCGGCAGGCCUAACACAUGCAAGUCGAACGGACCCUUCGGGGUUAGUGGCGGACGGGUGAGUAACACGUGGGAACGUGCCUUUAGGUUCGGAAUAGCUCCUGGAAACGGGUGGUAAUGCCGAAUGUGCCCUUCGGGGGAAAGAUUUAUCGCCUUUAGAGCGGCCCGCGUCUGAUUAGCUAGUUGGUGGUGUAACGGACCACCAAGGCGACGAUCAGUAGCUGGUCUGAGAGGAUGAUCAGCCACAUUGGGACUGAGACACGGCCCAAACUCCUACGGGAGGCAGCAGUGGGGAAUCUUGCGCAAUGGGCGAAAGCCUGACGCAGCCAUGCCGCGUGAAUGAUGAAGGUCUUAGGAUUGUAAAAUCCUUUCACCGGGGACGAUAAUGACGGUACCCGGAGAAGAAGCCCCGGCUAACUUCGUGCCAGCAGCCGCAGUAAAAC